UAAUUAACUUAUAUACCCAGAAAUUUCUAGGGCCCCCAGACUGUGGGCUCUGUGAAAGCAGAUGGUGAAAAUAUGUCUCUUUUUUUUCUUUCUGACAGUAAAGUCUCUGAGAUGUCUCCAGUGCUAUCCUUCCAAGAAACUGCCCAUUUCCAAAUUUAGCCUACUGGGGAGCAGCAAAAAGAGAAUGGGAUUCAGAGUCAGAAGACCCAGCUGAGAUAGAACACAGAUGAGAACACAGGUGAGAUGAGCACAGUGAGAUGAGCACUAAGAACCAACUGAGAUUAUCUAUAGCUAUGAUUGAAUUCUGACCUAGAGCAAUGAUUGCCACAAGGAAGAACUUGCAAAGGGUGCUAUUUUAGAAAAAAUAAGGAUUCAGGAUGAAUACAUGAACAUGGAGCUCAACUCAUUAUGUUUGAAGUCUGGGACCACCACUUCAUGUGAAUGCAAUAUCCUUGAAUGAGGACACAGUCAUAGGCUCAACCUCCAUGUAAAGGUAGGAAACCCAGUAAACCAGAUUGAACAAGCAGAAGGCAGUGGGGAAGAAGAUCCGCGCAUAGGAGUCCAUCUUGGCGAUACGGAUGUGUAUCCUCCCAUGUCUCCAAGCUCCUGUCCGGCAGUCUUCGAAACAGCAGAAAAAACUGGCACAGUCCUUGCCGUCCAGACACUCAUACCCGUAUUCUUCAUCUCUCUCUUGAAGAUUCUUCAAUUCCCUUUCUCCUCUGCCUUCUUUUCGUCUGCCACCUCAUGACCCUAGCUUAAGGAAUCCAAGUGUUUUGUAUCUCUGCAACAAAAUCCACUCCACAAUAGAGAGGACCAGAGGGCUUUGUCCUAAGCCAGUCCUCACAUCCCAGUUUCUACUGCCAGGGUGCCGUACUCCACCAAAGCAGAGAAGACAAAGAUGAAGCAAACAGAUACGAAGAGAUCCAUUGCCGUGACAUAGGAGACCUUGGGGAGCGACUUCCGGGCAAUGGUGCUGAGGGUAGUCAUCGUCAAGACAGUGGUAAUGCCUGCAGGAAGACACAACAGAACAGGUCAUGUGACCACACCAGCAAGGGGGAUAACUGUCACUAAUAAAACCAGACGUGUUUUGUGACUUCUGAGGAGCAACCUCAGUGUUGGGAAAGGAGGUGUAACUCAGAUUCAUUCACUCAGUUCACAGAUGUGUAUUGCCCGCCUACUACGUAUCAUCUACCGUAUGUACUGAGAAACGUGCUGAAAAUGUGCUGAGAAAUAAAAUAGACAUGGUCCCUGCCCACAUGUCCCUCGUAUUUCAGCGAAAGACACCACCAUGGAUCAAGUAAGCAAAGAAAAGUAUAAUUAGAAAUUAUGGUACGUGCCAUGCAGAAGAGCAGGGAUG